GUACCGUCAUCAUUGUAUCAUGCCCAUGGAAUAGACCAUCUCGUUAUUCCAACCAGAGAUUAUCUUUUUGCACCCUCUUUCGUGGAUAUAAACCGAGCAGUAGAUUUUAUUCACAGGAAUGCAUCCUGUGGUCUGACUACUUAUGUGCAUUGCAAGGCCGGAAGGGGAAGGAGCACAACUGUUGUGCUUUGCUAUUUGGUCGAAUAUAAGAAUAUGACUCCUGCUGCAGCGCUGGAAUAUGUCCGUUCCAGAAGACCUAGAGUUCUAUUGGCUCCUUCUCAAUGGAAGGCUGUUCAAGGAUUCAAGCGGCAGCGAAUGGCAUCUUCUCCACUCUCUAUUGACGCUGUGUUGAUCACUAAAGCAGAUCUUGAAGGGUAUCAUUCUUCUUCUGACGAUAGUCGUGGUAAGGAGCUAGCCCUUGUUCCCCGAAUUGCAAGAACACAGCCAAUGAUAGCUCGAUUAUCCUGCCUCUUUGCGUCACUGAAAGUAUCAGGUGGCUAUGGACCCGUUACCAGGCAACUAACCGAGGCACGUGCCUGCUAACUGCUGCACACUCAUCAGCAGAGCUUCCAUUGUUCAGAAUAUAGGUCUGCUUAAAUAAGUUCCCAAGAGCUUUAUAUCUUUGAUUCUGUAAGAAUUUAACAUCAAGGGUCUUUCAACAUUGUAUAAACAAACAUGUGCAGAGAGAGUGUAUGACUUUUGUUUUCAUUUGUAAAUAUUUGGGUCAUCAUCACUCCCUCCAUUU
rnacentral:misc_RNA from 1 species